rnacentral:rRNA from 1 species
UACGUAGGCAGCGAGCGUUGUUCGGAGUUACUGGGCGUAAAGAGUGCGUAGGCGGUUUUCUAAGUUUGGUGUGAAAUCUCCCGGCUUAACUGGGAGGGUGCGCCGAAAACUGGAAGGCUUGAGUAUGGGAGAGGUAAGCGGAAUUCCUGGUGUAGCGGUGAAAUGCGCAGAUAUCAGGAGGAACACCGGUGGCGAAGGCACUCUACUGGGCCAUUACUGACACUGAGAGACGAAAGCUAGGGGAGCAAACGGG